rnacentral:rRNA from 1 species
GACGAACGCUGGCGGCGUGCUUAACACAUGCAAGUCGAACGGAAAGGCCCUGCUUUUGUGGGGUUCUCGAUUGGCGAACGGGUGAGUAACACGUGAGUAACCUGCCCUUGACUUUGGGAUAACUUCAGGAAACUGGGGCUAAUACCGGAUAGGAGCUCCUGCUGCAUGGUGGGGGUGGGAAAGUUUCGGCGGUUGGGGAUGGACUGGCGGCUUAUCGGCUUGUUGGUGGGGUAGUGGCUUACCAAGGCUUUGACGGGUAGCCGGCCUGAGAGGGUGACCGGCCACAUUGGGACUGAGAGACGGCCCAGACGCCUACGGUAGGCAGCAGUGGGGAAUAUUGCACAAUGGGCGGAAGCCUGAUGCAGCAACGCCGCGUGCGGGAUGACCGCCUUCGGGUUGUAAACCGCUUUCGCCUGUGACGAAGCGUGAGUGACGGUAAUGGGUAAAGAAGCAACGGCUAACUACGUG